AGUGAGCGGAUGAACUGAGGGUAGCGGAGAAAUUCCAAUCGAACCUGGAGAUAGCUGGUUCUCUCCGAAAUAGCUUUAGGGCUAGCCUCAAGUGAUGAUUAUUGGAGGUAGAGCACUGUUUGGACGAGGGGCCCCUCUCGGGUUACCGAAUUCAGACAAACUCCGAAUGCCAAUUAAUUUAACUUGGGAGUCAGAACAUGGGUGAUAAGGUCCGUGUUCGAAAGGGAAACAGCCCAGACCACCAGCUAAGGUCCCAAAAUAUAUGUUAAGUGGAAAAGGAUGUGGCGUUGCCCAGACAACUAGGAUGUUGGCUUAGAAGCAGCCAUCAUUUAAAGAGUGCGUAAUAGCUCACUAGUCGAGUGACACUGCGCCGAAAAUGUACCGGGGCUAAACAUAUUACCGAAGCUGUGGAUUGUCCUUUGGACAAUGGUAGGAGAGCGUUCUAAGGGCGUUGAAGCAUGAUCGUAAGGACAUGUGGAGCGCUUAGAAGUGAGAAUGCCGGUGUGAGUAGCGAAAGACGGGUGAGAAUCCCGUCCACCGAUUGACUAAGGUUUCCAGAGGAAGGCUCGUCCGCUCUGGGUUAGUCGGGUCCUAAGCUGAGGCCGACAGGCGUAGGCGAUGGAUAACAGGUUGAUAUUCCUGUACCACCUAUAAUCGUUUUAAUCGAUGGGGGGACGCAGUAGGAUAGGCGAAGCGUGCGAUUGGAUUGCACGUCUAAGCAGUAAGGCUGAGUAUUAGGCAAAUCCGGUACUCAUUAAGGCUGAGCUGUGAUGGGGAGAAGACAUUGUGUCUUCGAGUCGUUGAUUUCACACUGCCGAGAAAAGCCUCUAGAUAGAAAAUAGGUGCCCGUACCGCAAACCGACACAGGUAGUCAAGAUGAGAAUUCUAAGGUGAGCGAGCGAACUCUCGUUAAGGAACUCGGCAAAAUGACCCCGUAACUUCGGGAGAAGGGGUGCUCUUUAGGGUUAACGCCCAGAAGAGCCGCAGUGAAUAGGCCCAAGCGACUGUUUAUCAAAAACACAGGUCUCUGCUAAACCGUAAGGUGAUGUAUAGGGGCUGACGCCUGCCCGGUGCUGGAAGGUUAAGAGGAGUGGUUAGCUUCUGCGAAGCUACGAAUCGAAGCCCCAGUAAACGGCGGCCGUAACUAUAACGGUCCUAAGGUAGCGAAAUUCCUUGUCGGGUAAGUUCCGACCCGCACGAAAGGCGUAACGAUUUGGGCACUGUCUCAACGAGAGACUCGGUGAAAUCAUAGUACCUGUGAAGAUGCAGGUUACCCGCGACAGGACGGAAAGACCCCGUGGAGCUUUACUGUAGCCUGAUAUUGAAAUUCGGCACAGCUUGUACAGGAUAGGUAGGAGCCUUUGAAACGUGAGCGCUAGCUUACGUGGAGGCGCUGGUGGGAUACUACCCUAGCUGUGUUGGCUUUCUAACCCGCACCACUUAUCGUGGUGGGAGACAGUGUCAGGCGGGCAGUUUGACUGGGGCGGUCGCCUCCUAAAAGGUAACGGAGGCGCUCAAAGGUUCCCUCAGAAUGGUUGGAAAUCAUUCAUAGAGUGUAAAGGCAUAAGGGAGCUUGACUGCGAGACCUACAAGUCGAGCAGGGUCGAAAGACGGACUUAGUGAUCCGGUGGUUCCGCAUGGAAGGGCCAUCGCUCAACGGAUAAAAGCUACCCCGGGGAUAACAGGCUUAUCUCCCCCAAGAGUUCACAUCGACGGGGAGGUUUGGCACCUCGAUGUCGGCUCAUCGCAUCCUGGGGCUGUAGUCGGUCCCAAGGGUUGGGCUGUUCGCCCAUUAAAGCGGUACGCGAGCUGGGUUCAGAACGUCGUGAGACAGUUCGGUCCCUAUCCGUCGUGGGCGUAGGAAAUUUGAGAGGAGCUGUCCUUAGUACGAGAGGACCGGGAUGGACAUACCUCUGGUGUACCAGUUGUCGUGCCAACGGCAUAGCUGGGUAGCUAUGUGUGGACGGGAUAAGUGCUGAAAGCAUCUAAGCAUGAAGCCCCCCUCAAGAUGAGAUUUCCCAACUUCGGUUAUAAGAUCCCUCAAAGAUGAUGAGGUUAAUAGGUUCGAGGUGGAAGCAUGGUGACAUGUGGAGCUGACGAAUACUAA
rnacentral:rRNA from 1 species